GUAGGGCAUAUUCCUUUCAAAAAUAAGUUUAAUAAUUAAACAUGACUAUCGGAAUACAAAAUCCUAGGAACACCUUGAUGAUUACAAUUAAACAAUACUAGCAUAUAGAUUAACAGGAGAUUAGAAGUCAUAUACCAAACAAGUAGAUGAGGAUCUAGUAAUAGAGUAACCUUCACAAGGCUCUAAAGUAGAAACUCUCCAACGGUGAUCCACACAAGAU
rnacentral:lncRNA from 1 species